rnacentral:tRNA from 1 species
UGCCUGGUGGUGUAAUUGGUAACACGCGAGACUCUGGAUCUCGUUUUUCAGGUUCGAAUCCUGACUAGGCAG